rnacentral:rRNA from 1 species
UACGUAGGGUGCAAGCGUUGUCCGGAAUUAUUGGGCGUAAAGGGCGCGUAGGCGGCCACUGCAAGUCAGUUGUGAAAUCUCCGGGCUUAACUCGGAAAGGUCAACUGAUACUGCAGGGCUAGAGUGCAGAAGGGGCAACUGGAAUUCCUGGUGUAGCGGUGAAAUGCGCAGAUAUCAGGAGGAACACCGAUGGCGAAGGCAGGUCUCUGGGCCACUACUGACGCUGAGAAGCGAAAGCAUGGGGAGCGAACAGG